rnacentral:rRNA from 1 species
GACGAACGCUGGCGGCGUGCCUAAUACAUGCAAGUCGAACGAGAGCGACCGGUGCUUGCACUGGUCAAUCUAGUGGCGAACGGGUGAGUAACACGUGGGUAACCUGCCCAUCAGAGGGGGAUAACAUCCGGAAACGGACGCUAAAACCGCAUAGGUCUUCGAACCGCAUGGUUUGAAGAGGAAAAGAGGCGCAAGCUUCUGCUGAUGGAUGGACCCGCGGUGCAUUAGCUAGUUGGUGAGGUAACGGCUCACCAAGGCCGUGAUGCAUAGCCGACCUGAGAGGGUGAUCGGCCACAUUGGGACUGAGACACGGCCCAAACUCCUACGGGAGGCAGCAGUAGGGAAUCUUCCGCAAUGGACGCAAGUCUGACGGAGCAACGCCGCGUGAGUGAAGAAGGUUUUCGGAUCGUAAAACUCUGUUGUUAGAGAAGAACAAGUGCUAGAGUAACUGUUAGCGCCUUGACGGUAUCUAACCAGAAAGCCACGGCUAACUACGUG